AUUGAACGCUGGCGGCAGGCCUAACACAUGCAAGUCGAGCGAGCGGCGGACGGGUGAGUAAUGUAUGGGGACUGCCCGAUAGAGGGGGAUAACUACUGGCAACUGUGGCUAAUACCGCAUACUAUCGGAUAACCCAUAUGGGAUUAGCUAGUAGGUGGGGUAAAGGCUCACCUAGGCGACGAUCUCUAGCUGGUCUGUGAGGAUGAUCAGCCAAACUGGGACUGAGACACGGCCCAGAUUCCUACGGAGGCAGCAGUGGGGAAUAUGGCACAAGGGGAGCAAGCCUGAUGCAGCCAUGCCGCGUGGAUGAAGAAGGCCUUAGGGUUGUAAAGUACUUUCGGCGGGGAGGCGUUACCCACAGAAGAAGCACCGGCUAACUCCGUGCCAGCAGCCGCGGUAAUUC
rnacentral:rRNA from 1 species